ensembl:lncRNA
AUAAAAUUAACUUCCAAUUUAGGAACAUAAUGAAAAACAUUAACUUAAUCUUUGCAUUUUUUUCUACAUCUUUGUAAAAGGGUCAGUAUAUAGAUGUUCCUUUUGUAACGCCUAGCAGUGUAUCCUCAGACACUUAGAAAAUAGUCACAACUUUCUACAGUUAACACAAAACUAGAAAUAAAAAACAAUUUGUCAAUGAGAAAGCAAAGACUUUGAAAGCAACCCUUUUCUUCACAUGAGUAUGUAGUGAGGGUCUUCGCUGUUACCAUCUAAUUUCCAUCAGCUGGGAGUGUGCCUGCCAGCUGGUAGCAGUAGAAACUCAUCAGCCUCGCAGUACUGGAGAAGGAUAGAAAGAGGCUGGGCUUCUACAAAAAACAACAAUUUCUGUUGUUUCUGUAGGGGUAACGAUGAUAAUGUCUUCUCCUUGAGCUUGUCCUUAGUGAAAAUCAAGCUACUGUUUUUCAUUCAAUGAAACCUGCCUUUUCUGCUUUUGCCGGAAUGAAAGCUAUGUGAUGCGGUGAACUGAAAAGCAUGGGCAGAGGAACAGGUGAGCUCUCUUGCCAGCCAUCUGGUACAUCUGUGAUCUCCAAAAGAGCAGUGCAACAAGUGUCUGAGCUCGCUGUAUGUGACCUGGUAUGGCUGCACAGCCAGGAGAAACAAGCAUCCGGCCAUCAGGCGUGAUAGCACGACCUACCCUGUGUGCUCCUCGACUUCUGCUGCUCUGUGUGCCUUCCUGGCCUGGUUCUAAUUAUCUGGAUUAUCCCACCUACUGUCUGGGAGCUCAAGCAUGGCUCGUCUGAAGAAAACCUCAGAGAACAACAACAGUCAAACCUUUGUGCUUACGAACCAAGCCUUCAGACUUAAAAUGAGGCUUAGGCCCAUCCUGCCUUCGGAGACAGCUGGGAGCUCUUACAAAUAUAUGGAAGCGUGGGGACGCUGCUGGCUGAAGGCAUUGUCUGGUGAACUCAUACAGAGCCUGCCCACUGUGGAUCAACAGAGGCAAAGGUUCAAGAUCGCUAUAUAAAAAUCUACCUUCCAAACUCCUCUUGUGAAACUGGCCACGUGUGGUCUUAGUGCUGCUUUGUGGUUUUAGCUGCAGCCCCCUGUGCUGUGUAGCAGCCCACGAACGUGCGUUGGCUGCAGGCCCCGGCACUUCUGUGUAAUGGGGUGACAAGGAUGUGCCCUCGGUGAGCAGCCCCAGCUGGGAGAGGGUUGUGCUUUGUGUCCCGUGAUGUGCCACGUCCCCACUCCCCCCCUUCUGCCGGAGGUGGGGGCUCUCCCUGUCACGAGUGACGUGGUGGCAUAAGGUUCGGAUGCAGCCGUUCUCUUUCUUGAUGAUUCGUUUUGAAGUUGGCCUGACUUUCACCUCCAGGCCCAGGGAAAAGCCAUUACGUGCUUUCUGGUCUUCAGCUCGUGGAUGGAUUCGUGCAUGUUGAGAUUCCAAAGACUUCGCAAUUGAAGUUCAAAUUAAGGAAUAUGUGGUGCUUGGCACGGGUACAUACGGCUGGAAAGAUAAAUUCAAUUGUGUUUAACUGCUAGACAAAUUUUCACAGCCUUUGAUUUAAUCACCAGAGCAUUAACAAGAAGGUUUGGCCCAGUGCUUCCCUAUUUAGCUGUGCUAUUUGGUUACUAGACUGGAACAGAAAACAGCAGGUAUUGUCAUGUUAGGGAGAGGCAUCCCACAGCACGUUCUGCCCUCGAACGAAGCCUGAGCAAUGAAGAAAUAACAAUUUCUUGCCUGAUCAAAGACUGCUUAUAAAAUCGGGCCUGCUGGAAUGCAAAAAGUUCUGUAUUCAUCUCUUAGGAGCAGAUAAUAAACUGUUCUUCUGACUGAGAGAGUCCCCGCGC